GGGACAGUAGCUCAGCGGUAGAGCCUUCGCCUGGUAUGCGAGAAGACCCGGAUUCGACUCCCGCCUGCUCCG
rnacentral:tRNA from 1 species